AGCUAGUUAAGGAGCACAAAGGAAAACAUUUCUAUAAAGGAUCAUUUGACAACAAAAACCACAAAAAGAACGUGUAAGCCAGAAAACGGACAGAGGCAGAAACAGCAGUGCAAAGGCCCUGAGGCAGGGAGGGCCUCCAUGUACUGGAAGACCAGCAAAGAGGCCAGCACGACUGAAAGGGAUAGCUGAAGAGGAAAGCAGGAGGCAGAGGUCAGAGAGUUAAUACCCUGCUAGUUGCAUUGUUGCUCAGGAGUGCCACCUGACUCCACAUCUAGAAAGGCUCUGUCCAGCUCACCUUCCCGAUCCCAGAUGAUUGCCCAGAUAAGCAAGUUGCCAUGAGUCCUACAGCCAUGAAGACAUGAAUUCUGCCAACAACCUAAGUGAGCUCAGGAGCAGAUCCCUCUCCAGUUGAGCCUCCGAUGAGAAUCCAGUCCUAGCCAACAACACCCUGACUGUAGCCUUGUGAGACCCCAAGCAGAGGACUCAAUUAAGCUAUGUCUACACUCCUGAUCCAAAGCAACUGGGAAAAUAAAUGUGUGCUGCUUUAAGCCA